rnacentral:rRNA from 1 species
AGAGGGGGCAAGCGUUGUUCGGAAUUACUGGGCGUAAAGGGCGCGUAGGCGGCCUUCUAAGUCGAACGUGAAAUCCCCGGGCUCAACCCGGGAACUGCGUCCGAUACUGGAAGGCUUGAAUCCGGGAGAGGGAUGUGGAAUUCCAGGUGUAGCGGUGAAAUGCGUAGAUAUCUGGAGGAACACCGGUGGCGAAGGCGACAUCCUGGACCGGUAUUGACGCUGAGGCGCGAAAGCCAGGGGAGCAAACGGGAUUAGAUACCCCGGUAGUCCUGGCCCUAAACGAUGAAUGCUUGGUGUGGCGGGUAUCGAUCCCUGCCGUGCCGAAGCUAACGCAUUAAGCAUUCCGCCUGGGGAGUACGGUCGCAAGGCGG